UACGUAGGGACCAAGCGUUGUUCGGAUUUACUGGGCGUAAAGGGCGCGUAGGCGGCGUGGUAAGUCACUUGUGAAAUCUCCGAGCUUAACUCGGAACUGCCAAGUGAUACUGCUGUGCUAGAGUGCAGAAGGGGCAACCGGAAUUCUUGGUGUAGCGGUGAAAUGCGUAGAUAUCAAGAGGAACACCUGAGGUGAAGACGGGGUUGCUGGGCUGACACUGACGCUGAGGCGCGAAAGCUAGGGGUAGCAAACGGGG
rnacentral:rRNA from 1 species